rnacentral:rRNA from 1 species
AGUGAACGCUGGCGGUAGACCUAACACAUGCAAGUCGAACGGCAGCACAGUAAGAGCUUGCUCUUACGGGUGGCGAGUGGCGGACGGGUGAGGAAUACCUCGGAAUCUACUUUUUCGUGGGUGAUAACGUAGGGAAACUUACGCUAAUACCGCAUACGACCUACGGGUGAAAGCAGGGGAUCUUCGGACCUUGCGCGAUUGAAUGAGCCGAUGUCGGAUUAGCUAGUUGGCGGGGUAAAGGCCCACCAAGGCGACGAUCCGUAGCUGGUCUGAGAGGAUGAUCAGCCACACUGGAACUGAGACACGGUCCAGACUCCUACGGGAGGCAGCAGUGGGGAAUAUUGGACAAUGGGCGAAAGCCUGAUCCAGCCAUACCGCGUGGGUGAAGAAGGCCUUCGGGUUGUAAAGCCCUUUUGUUGGGAAAGAAAAGCAGCAGGUUAAUACCCCGCUGUUCUGACGGUACCCAAAGAAUAAGCACCGGCUAACUUCGUG